GGCUAGAAAGUGCUGUGCGAAGGAUACAACAUGUUGUUAACACAGUUGCUUUUCCAAGGGAGAUCUGUGUAAGAGGACUGAGAGAACAGUGACUGGUCACCCUCCUGCAAUGUCACAAUCCCUCCUGGACCUUUUGAGUGGCUAGGCUGGAAACAUCCUAAGGGGAUUUUUCUGCUUCUUCUUUUUCCCCUCCUUUCACUACAUCGGGCUUGUCUUCCUGCUGUCUUAAGGAGACCACCUACAAUUUAAGGAAAUAAAGACCUCUGUGAAAAAACACAGGCAAACCUGAUAUUUAAGGGCACUAACUGUGGGAAGCCUAGGUACCUCAGUGUUCUCCUCCUAGCACUGCGAAUAAAUGCUAGAACUGCCCCCUAAUGCAGAGGAUACAAGAGGGGAGCAUCAUUUUAUCAUAACACGGAUGCGUCCUUUGCAACUGUGACUUUCCUUGGCUGGCAUGUGGGAUGCUGUGAUCAACCUGCUGUGUUUUCUGUCUUUCUCUGGGACAGCUGAAUGGAUACAGAGAUGUGAGCUUUCAAUACCUGCAAGUUUCCAUAUGAUCUGUUGGCAGCGCUCUGCAUGAAAGGGACCAUGAGAAGCUGGAGGUGCUACAGGGAGGCAAACCCAGCAGGCUGGUAGCAGGCACAAACACGCCCGUCCUGACGAAUUUGGGCACAUGGCAUGGUACCGCAGAAACCAAACCCAGACAUUCACCUGGGGAGCUUGAGCAAGAUGUGGAAAUAUAUGGUGCAACUGGAUUCUCUGCAACAUCUGAUUCCUGUGGCCUCACUAACUGUUGAGCUUCCAGCUGUGAGGGGGGAGCGGUUUGGUACAUACAAUGUCACAGCUCCUUCUAUGUAAUUAAUUGCAACAAUCAACCGAGUGUGAAAUCCAUCAGUCUCUGGGUCCUCUGUUGCUCGCUUUGAUGCCAGCUCUUCUUCUUUCAUUUUC